rnacentral:lncRNA from 12 species
AUGGGCAAUUUGAUUAUUCAACAUUUUUCCACACCAGGCCAAGCAGCUGGACCUGGAGCAGUUCUGCUGACUUCUCCCCACGCAGCCCGGCUGGUGGGGCACAGGUUCAUACUGAUGGAGAGGACACCGGUGCAGAGUGACAAGAGAGGAACCCCUCAACACAGCAAUUUACAUUCCUGCCAGAGGAGCUCUCAGUCAACAUGGUUUUCCUGUAGAAAUUCUAAUACAGUGUGAGACUGGCCAACUUUUCCAGUGUUAGCAAACCAUAUUUGCAUGUAUUAAAUAAAUUAUAAACCUUGUGUGUAAAUGGAUUCA